AAAUGGGUUUAUAAGAAGCCGUAUCAGGUCGCGAUGACCGUCACCAGUCGAGCCGGCGCUGCCAUCGAGAACUGACGGUCUUCUCCGGCGGAGGAAACAGUGUUGAGCACCCCGUUCUUGUUCAUUACAAGGACGUUUAGGUGGUGAUAUGCCAGAUAGGAUGUCUAGUGAUCCAUCGACACCAACACAUUCACCGGCUAAGACACCAGUGGUGCCCACACGAUCCUCCCCACGCAUGAGGACGGCGAAAUCCCUGGCCAAGCCUGCGUCUCGAGCAUCGAAAAUAAAGUGGACUCCUGAUAUGGAUCAGGUUAUGAUCGACAUAUUUUUGGAACAAGUGGCAUUGGGACGCAAAUGCGAUAAUGGUUUCAAACGUGAGGCGUACCAAAUUACCGCCGACGCCGUUACAAAGCAUACCAAUGUAGUCCUCAAGUGGCAGAAUGUCUCUAACCGACUAAGGUAUUACAAGAGGGAGUAUACUGCAGUGAAGGAUAUGCUGUCGGUGAGCGGGUUCGGAUGGGACAACGAGCGGAUGGUGGUAACGACUCCUGAUGAAGUCUGGGAGGAAUAUAUUAAGGUAUAAUUUUUUCAAAAUAAAGUGAAUAUAUUCGCAAUCAGUAUACACUUCUUACUGUACUUACUACUCAUUAAUGUACGGCUGCAGUCUCACCCCCGUGCGGAGAAACUCCGCAGUAAACGGAUUGAGAGAAUGGAUGAUCUUACAACUAUCGUCGGUUCCG